CCUACGGGGGGCAGCAGUCGAGAAUCAUUCACAAUGGGGGAAACCCUGAUGGUGCGACGCCGCGUGGGGGAAUGAAGGUCUUCGGAUUGUAAACCCCUGUCAUGUGGGAGCAAAUUAAAAAGAUAGUACCACAAGAGGAAGAGACGGCUAACUCUGUGCCAGCAGCCGCGGUAAUACAGAGGUCUCAAGCGUUGUUCGGAAUCACUGGGCGUAAGGCGUGCGUAGGCUGUUUCGUAAGUCGUGUGUGAAAGGCGCGGGCUCAACCCGCGGACGGCACAUGAUACUGCGAGACUAGAGUAAUGGAGGGGGAACCGGAAUUCUCGGUGUAGGAGUGAAAUGCGUAGAUAUCGAGAGGAACACUCGUGGCGAAGGCGGGUUCCUGGACAUUAACUGACGCUGAGGCACGAAGGCCAGGGGAGCGAAAGGGAUUAGAUACCCGUGUAGUC
rnacentral:rRNA from 1 species